UGAUAGCUCAGUUGGUAGAGCAUGAGACUCUUGAUCCCAGGGUUAUGGGUUCAAGACCCACAUUGGAUGAA